rnacentral:rRNA from 1 species
GGUUAAGCGACUAAGCGUACACGGUGGAUGCCCUGGCAGUCAGAGGCGAUGAAGGACGUGCUAAUCUGCGAAAAGCGUCGGUAAGGUGAUAUGAACCGUUAUAGCCGGCGAUGUCCGAAUGGGGAAACCCAGUGCAAUUCGUUGCACUAUCGUUAACUGAAUACAUAGGUUAACGAGGCGAACCGGGGGAACUGAAACAUCUAAGUACCCCGAGGAAAAGAAAUCAACCGAGAUUCCCCCAGUAGCGGCGAGCGAACGGGGAGCAGCCCGGAGUCUGAAUCAGCUUGUGUGUUAGUGGAAGCGUCUGGAAAGUCGCAGGGUACAGGGUGAUACUCCCGUACACUAAAGCACACAGGUUGUGAACUCGAAGAGUAGGGCGGGACACGUGGUAUCCUGUCUGAAUAUGGGGGGACCAUCCUCCAAGGCUAAAUACUCCUGACUGACCGAUAGUGAACCAGUACCGUGAGGGAAAGGCGAAAAGAACCCCGGCGAGGGGAGUGAAAAAGAACCUGAAACCGUGUACGUACAAGCAGUAGGAGCCCACUUGUUGGGUGACUGCGUACCUUUUGUAUAAUGGGUCAGCGACUUAUAUUCUGUAGCAAGGUUAACCGUAUAGGGGAGCCGCAGGGAAACCGAGUCUUAACUGGGCGUUAAGUUGCAGGGUAUAGACCCGAAACCCGGUGAUCUAGCCAUGGGCAGGUUGAAGGUUGGGUAACACUAACUGGAGGACCGAACCGACUAAUGUUGAAAAAUUAGCGGAUGACUUGUGGCUGGGGGUGAAAGGCCAAUCAAACCGGGAGAUAGCUGGUUCUCCCCGAAAGCUAUUUAGGUAGCGCCUCGUGAACUCAUCUUCGGGGGUAGAGCACUGUUUCGGCUAGGGGGUCAUCCCGACUUACCAACCCGAUGCAAACUACGAAUACCGAAGAAUGUUAUCACGGGAGACACACGGCGGGUGCUAACGUCCGUCGUGAAGAGGGAAACAACCCAGACCGCCAGCUAAGGUCCCAAAGUCAUGGUUAAGUGGGAAACGAUGUGGGAAGGCCCAGACAGCCAGGAUGUUGGCUUAGAAGCAGCCAUCAUUUAAAGAAAGCGUAAUAGCUCACUGGUCGAGUCGGCCUGCGCGGAAGAUGUAACGGGGCUAAACCAUGCACCGAAGCUGCGGCAGCGACACUAUGUGUUGUUGGGUAGGGGAGCGUUCUGUAAGCCGUUGAAGGUGGCCUGUGAGGGUUGCUGGAGGUAUCAGAAGUGCGAAUGCUGACAUAAGUAACGAUAAUGCGGGUGAAAAACCCGCACGCCGGAAGACCAAGGGUUCCUGUCCAACGUUAAUCGGGGCAGGGUGAGUCGACCCCUAAGGCGAGGCCGAAAGGCGUAGUCGAUGGGAAACAGGUUAAUAUUCCUGUACUCGGUGUUACUGCGAAGGGGGGACGGAGAAGGCUAUGUUGGCCGGGCGACGGUUGUCCCGGUUUAAGCAUGUAGGCGGAUGUUCCAGGUAAAUCCGGAACGUUACUAACGCUGAGGUGUGAUGACGAGGCACUACGGUGCUGAAGUGACAAAUGCCCUGCUUCCAGGAAAAGCCUCUAAGCAUCAGGUAACAUCAAAUCGUACCCCAAACCGACACAGGUGGUCAGGUAGAGAAUACCAAGGCGCUUGAGAGAACUCGGGUGAAGGAACUAGGCAAAAUGGUGCCGUAACUUCGGGAGAAGGCACGCUGAUGGUAGGUGAAGUGACUUGCUCAUGGAGCUGAAAUCAGUCGAAGAUACCAGCUGGCUGCAACUGUUUAUUAAAAACACAGCACUGUGCAAACACGAAAGUGGACGUAUACGGUGUGACGCCUGCCCGGUGCCGGAAGGUUAAUUGAUGGGGUUAUCCGUAAGGAGAAGCUCUUGAUCGAAGCCCCGGUAAACGGCGGCCGUAACUAUAACGGUCCUAAGGUAGCGAAAUUCCUUGUCGGGUAAGUUCCGACCUGCACGAAUGGCGUAAUGAUGGCCAGGCUGUCUCCACCCGAGACUCAGUGAAAUUGAACUCGCUGUGAAGAUGCAGUGUACCCGCGGCAAGACGGAAAGACCCCGUGAACCUUUACUAUAGCUUGACACUGAACACUGGUCCUUGAUGUGUAGGAUAGGUGGGAGGCUUUGAAGUGUGGACGCCAGUCUGCAUGGAGCCAUCCUUGAAAUACCACCCUUUAAUGGCUGGUGUUCUAACGUGGGCCCCUAAUCGGGGUUGCGGACAGUGUCUGGUGGGUAGUUUGACUGGGGCGGUCUCCUCCUAAAGAGUAACGGAGGAGCACGAAGGUCAGCUAAUCCUGGUCGGACAUCAGGAGGUUAGUGCAAUGGCAUAAGCUGGCUUGACUGCGAGCGUGACGGCGCGAGCAGGUGCGAAAGCAGGUCAUAGUGAUCCGGUGGUUCUGAAUGGAAGGGCCAUCGCUCAACGGAUAAAAGGUACUCCGGGGAUAACAGGCUGAUACCGCCCAAGAGUUCAUAUCGACGGCGGUGUUUGGCACCUCGAUGUCGGCUCAUCACAUCCUGGGGCUGAAGUAGGUCCCAAGGGUAUGGCUGUUCGCCAUUUAAAGUGGUACGCGAGCUGGGUUUAGAACGUCGUGAGACAGUUCGGUCCCUAUCUGCCGUGGGCGCUGGAGAAUUGAGGGGGGCUGCUCCUAGUACGAGAGGACCGGAGUGGACGCAUCACUGGUGUUCGGGUUGUCAUGCCAAUGGCAUUGCCCGGUAGCUAAAUGCGGAAGAGAUAAGUGCUGAAAGCAUCUAAGCACGAAACUUGCCCCGAGAUGAGUUCUCCCUGACUCCUUGAGAGUCCUGAAGGAACGUUGAAGACGACGACGUUGAUAGGCCGGGUGUGUAAGCGCAGCGAUGCGUUGAGCUAACCGGUACUAAUGAACCGUGAGGCUUAACCUU